rnacentral:rRNA from 1 species
CUUGACGCUGGCGGCAGGCCUAACACAUGCAAGUCGAACGAGUGGCGGACGGGUGAGUAAUGUCUGGGAAACUGCCUGAUGGAGGGGGAUAACUACUGGAAACGGUAGCUAAUACCGCAUACCAUCGGAUGUGCCCAUAGGGGAUUAGCUAGUAGGUGGGGUAAAGGCUCACCUAGGCGACGAGCCCUAGCUGGUCUGAGAGGAUGACCAGCCACACGGGAACUGAGACACGGUCCAGACUCCUACGGGAGGCAGCAGUGGGGAAUAUUGCACAAGGGGCGAAAGCCUGAUGCAGCCAUGCCGCGGGUGUGAAGAAGGCCUUCGGGUUGUAAAGCACUUUCAGCGGGGAGGCGUUACCCGCAGAAGAAGCACCGGCUAACUCCGUGCCAGCCGCCGCGGUAAUUC